rnacentral:lncRNA from 1 species
GUUGAUUGUUUGUGUUGCUGAUGAACUAGAGUUUGCUGAUAAUGUAACAUAUGGGUUUUUGUUGUUGAAGGGUUUAUUGUUUAAACCUUUAAGAGGAGUUGAACGAAUAGAGGGCAAGUGUGUUGUUUGAUUACCAGUAGAAUUGAGCGGAAUUGAUGCGUGGGAUUGUGAAGUGUGUAGGUUUAGAAUGAGGGUUUGAGUUCUUGAAGAAAGAAGUGGUGAAGCAGAUAAGAAAACUGACAUUUUCUUUCUCAGUUGCAGUUGAUGGAAAAAACUUACAGCAAGCAGAGGGAUGGAGAUGUGAAGGAUGAAUCGAUUGAUAAUAGCAAAAUCCUUUUCAAAUCGGAACCCUAGUUUCCAAUAUCAUCGCAUAUGUUUACAAAUCCGAACCUGUAAAGUGGGAAUUUGUUGCUGGUAGUCAGUGUAUGAGAAGAUGAGAUAAGACGUGGUU